rnacentral:rRNA from 1 species
CCUACGGGUGGCAGCAGUGGGGAAUAUGGGACAAUGGGGGGAACCCUGAUCCAGCCAUGCCGCGUGUGUGAAGAAGGCCCUCGGGUUGUAAAGCACUUUCAGUGAGGAAGAACGCCUGGUGGUUAAUACCCAUCAGGAAAGACAUCACUCACAGAAGAAGCACCUGCUAACUCCGUGCCAGCAGCCGCGGUAAUACGGAGGGUGCGAGCGUUAAUCGGAAUUACUGGGCGUAAAGCGCGCGUAGGUGGCUUGAUAAGCCGGUUGUGAAAGCCCCGGGCUCAACCUGGGAACGGCAUCCGGACCUGUCAAGCUAGAGUGCAGGAGAGGAAGGUAGAAUUCCCGGUGUAGCGGUGAAAUGCGUAGAGAUCGGGAGGAAUACCAGUGGCGAAGGCGGCCUUCUGGACUGACACUGACACUGAGGUGCGAAAGCGUGGGUAGCACACAGGCUUAGAUAACACUGUAGUA